rnacentral:pre_miRNA from 1 species
GUGUAGGUUGAUGCAGAUUGCAGACUUGGCUUCCAGGCAGGAGGUAAUGCCCAGCCACCGUCUCUGUUGAAGUUGGGACGGCGACUUAUUUCGAUGGCCUCAC